rnacentral:rRNA from 1 species
GAUGAACGCUGGCGGCGUGCCUAAUACAUGCAAGUCGAGCGAACAGACGAGGAGCUUGCUCCUCUGACGUUAGCGGCGGACGGGUGAGUAACACGUGGAUAACCUACCUAUAAGACUGGGAUAACUUCGGGAAACCGGCGCUAAUACCGGAUAAUAUAUUGAACCGCAUGGUUCAAUAGUGAAAGACGGUUUUGCUGUCACUUAUAGAUGGAUCCGCGCCGCAUUAGCUAGUUGGUAAGGUAACGGCUUACCAAGGCAACGAUGCGUAGCCGACCUGAGAGGGUGAUCGGCCACACUGGAACGGAGACACGGUCCAGACGCCUACGGGAGGCAGCAGUAGGGAAUCUUCCGCAGUGGGCGAAAGCCUGACGGAGCAACGCCGAGUGAGUGAUGGAGGUCUUCGGAUCGUAAAACUCUGUUAUUAGGGAAGAACAAAUGUGUAAGUAACUAUGCACGUCUUGACGGUACCUAAUCAGAAAGCAACGGCUAACUACGUG